rnacentral:rRNA from 1 species
AGCAGCCGCGGUAAUUCCAGCUCCAAUAGCGUAUAUUAAAGUUGUUGCAGUUAAAAAGCUCGUAGUUGAAUUUCGGGGUCAGUAGGCUGGUCGUGCCACAGGUACGUACUGGUCUCACUGAUUCCUCCUUCCUGAUGAACCGUAAUGCCAUUAAUUUGGUGUUGCGGGGAAACUGGACUGUUACUUUGAAAAAUUAGAGUGUUUAAAGCAGGCUAACGCUUGAAUACAUUAGCAUGGAAUAAUGAAAUAGGACGUUCGAUCCUAUUUUGUUGGUUUCUAGGAUUGACGUAAUGAUUAAUAGGGAUAGUUGGGGGCAUUAGUAUUCAAUUGUCAGAGGUGAAAUUCUUGGAUUUAUUGAAGACUAACUACUGCGAAAGCAUUUGCCAAGGAUGUUUUCAUUAAUCAAGAACGAAAGUUAGGGGAUCGAAGACGAUCAGAUACCGUCGUAGUCUUAACCAUAAACUAUGCCGACUAGGGAUCGGAUGAUGUUAAUUUUUAAUGUACUCA